rnacentral:rRNA from 1 species
AAGGUCUUCGGAUUGUAAAGUUCUGUGACGGGGGACGAACACAAUGACGGUACCCCGAUAGCAAGCCACGGCUAACUACGUGCCAGCAGCCGCGGUAAUACGUAGGUGGCAAGCGUUAUCCGGAAUGACUGGGCGUAAAGGGUGCGUAGGUGGUUUGGCAAGUUGGCGGCGUAAUUCCGGGGCUCAACUCCGGCGCUACCGCCAAAACUGUCGGACUCGAGUGCAGGAGGGGUAAGUGGAAUUCCUAGUGUAGCGGUGGAAUGCGUAGAUAUUAGGAAGAACAUCGGUGGCGAAGGCGACUUACUGGACUGUAACUGACACUGAGGCACGAAAGCGUGGGGAGCAAACAGGAUUAGAUACCCUGGUGGUCCACGCCGUAAACGAUGAAUACUAGGUGUAGGGGGUAUCGACUCCCUCUGUGCCGUCGUUAACACAUUAAGUAUUCCGCCUGGGGAGUACGGCCGCAAGGUUGAAACUCAAAGAAAUUGACGGGGACCCGCACAAGCAGCGGAGCAUGUGGUUUAAUUCGACGCAACGCGAAAAACCUUACCAGGACUUGACAUCGAGUGAAAGCCUGAGAGAUCAGGCCCCUCUUCGGAGCACGAAGACAGGUGUUGCAUGGUUGUCGUCAGCUCGUGUCGUGAGAUG